CGGGACACGUGGUAUCCUGUCUGAAUAUGGGGGGACCAUCCUCCAAGGCUAAAUACUCCUGACUGACCGAUAGUGAACCAGUACCGUGAGGGAAAGGCGAAAAGAACCCCGGCGAGGGGAGUGAAAAAGAACCUGAAACCGUGUACGUACAAGCAGUGGGAGCACGCUUCGGCGUGUGACUGCGUACCUUUUGUAUAAUGGGUCAGCGACUUAUAUUCUGUAGCAAGGUUAACCGAAUAGGGGAGCCGAAGGGAAACCGAGUCUUAACUGGGCGUUAAGUUGCAGGGUAUAGACCCGAAACCCGGUGAUCUAGCCAUGGGCAGGUUGAAGGUUGGGUAACACUAACUGGAGGACCGAACCGACUAAUGUUGAAAAAUUAGCGGAUGACUUGUGGCUGGGGGUGAAAGGCCAAUCAAACCGGGAGAUAGCUGGUUCUCCCCGAAAGCUAUUUAGGUAGCGCCUCGUGAAUUCAUCUCCGGGGGUAGAGCACUGUUUCGGCAAGGGGGUCAUCCCGACUUACCAACCCGAUGCAAACUGCGAAUACCGGAGAAUGUUAUCACGGGAGACACACGGCGGGUGCUAACGUCCGUCGUGAAGAGGGAAACAACCCAGACCGCCAGCUAAGGUCCCAAAGUCAUGGUUAAGUGGGAAACGAUGUGGGAAGGCCCAGACAGCCAGGAUGUUGGCUUAGAAGCAGCCAUCAUUUAAAGAAAGCGUAAUAGCUCACUGGUCGAGUCGGCCUGCGCGGAAGAUGUAACGGGGCUAAACCAUGCACCGAAGCUGCGGCAGCGACACUAUGUGUUGUUGGGUAGGGGAGCGU
rnacentral:rRNA from 1 species